rnacentral:rRNA from 1 species
GUGGGGAAUAUUGGACAAUGGGCGAAAGCCUGAUCCAGCCAUGCCGCGUGUGUGAAGAAGGUCUUCGGAUUGUAAAGCACUUUAAGUUGGGAGGAAGGGCAGUAAGUUAAUACCUUGCUGUUUUGACGUUACCGACAGAAUAAGCACCGGCUAACUUCGUGCCAGCAGCCGCGGUAAUACGAAGGGUGCAAGCGUUAAUCGGAAUUACUGGGCGUAAAGCGCGCGUAGGUGGUUUUGUAAGUUGGAGGUGAAAUCCCCGGGCUCAACCUGGGAACUGGCUCCAAAAAUGCAUGACUAGAGUACGGUAGAGGGUAGUGGAAUUUCCUGUGUAGCGGUGAAAUGCGUAGAUAUAGGAAGGAACACCAGUGGCGAAGGCGACUACCUGGACUGAUACUGACACUGAGGUGCGAAAGCGUGGGGAGCAAACAGGAUUAGAAACCCCUGUAGUCC